GACACUUUGGCCGAGUGGUUAAGGCGACAGACUCGAAUUUCAUUGAUAUCUGUUUCAUUCGUGAGCGCAGGUUCAAAUCCUGCAGGUGUCG